UACGUAGGGUGCAAGCGUUGUCCGGAAUUAUUGGGCGUAAAGGGCUCGUAGGCGGUCUGUCGCGUCGGGAGUGAAAACUCAGGGCUUAACCCUGAGCCUGCUUCCGAUACGGGCAGACGUAGAGGUAUGCAGGGGAGAACGGAAUUCCUGGUGUAGCGGUGAAAUGCGCAGAUAUCAGGAGGAACACCGGUGGCGAAGGCGGUUCUCUGGGCAUUACCUGACGCUGAGGAGCGAAAGUGUGGGGAGCGAACAGG
rnacentral:rRNA from 1 species